GGCAAGAUGGCCGAGCGGUCUAAGGCGCCACGUUAAGGUUAACCCUUAAUCCCAAUCUCCGUGGUCCGAAAGGGCGUGGGUUCGAAUCCCACUCUUGUCA